rnacentral:lncRNA from 1 species
AAGUUCAAGUGGCUGAGAAGUUUCAGAUCAGUGAUGCUGAGCCCUCUAGAGCCAGAGCCUCAGUUUUCAACUCACUGCAAAGUUGUGAUCACAGUAGCAGCCAAGAAGUAUUUAUACCAUUCAGGAUAAUCCUGGAAACCACUGCACCAAGUUCUCUUAUUUGCUUCCAAAGGGAGUGUCCCGGCUGGGUAUACAGUUAGCUCAUUUGCCUCUGGUGCUAUUGCAUCAUGCUGAGUGUAGUGCAUCCUUAGUAAAUUUACCUCUUCCUGGUCCCAGGUCCAAAGCGGCAGCUCAUCAGCAGGGUGGCCCCAUGGAUACGAGAGUCACCAAGGCGCUAACUUGAUUUGGCCAAACCACACAGCCUCUCUUUCAGCAUCUGGGGGAUUUUUUUUUCCCCAGCAGGAGCUCCCUGGUAAAUUCCUGUCUAACCUCUCACUUCCAGUUUGCAGCAGACUCCAAGAAGCUAGGGAAUGUUGACAGUAUGGAACAUGCUGGAAAAGGCCCAGGUUCCAGAAGCCUGGCAAUGCCAGAUGAUGCCAGUGUUCCAAAGAGGACCCCAAAAUAUUCAGUUUGAGGUUUUGGGAAAGGAACAGAAGACAGGCCUUUGACCCAGAGAGGUUUGUUAGAUAUUAGUCUCACUAAAGUCUCUCCUUUAGCCUUAAGUAAACCUGAGCUAAUAACAGGUAGCAUUAUGUUCUCUGGUGGGAAAAUUC